UUCUAAUAAUCAUGCAUUUGAUCCUAUUAGAAAUAAUCUAACAUCUAGAACUGAGUUUACCAAAACCAGUCACCCUCCCAAUGUCAACAAUUUCCCUUUCCAACUUGCCAAUUUCUUUUCUAUUUUUUUGACAAUGAAGUUUUAGUGCUAAGACCUUAUUUUUGAGUGGUGCAAUAGAAAACCUAAGUAUUUGGUGGAAAAGUUUGCCAAUGAACACCCAAGAGUUUUGCAAAUUGGCCAUUUGCAAAUUUUGAAAGAUCAAU
rnacentral:lncRNA from 1 species